GCCGGUGUUGCACAGCGGUGUCACAGAGCCACCGCGCUGCGACCACUUCGGCGGCACAAUCCAAAUUUGUCGGACAUCUCAUUCUGUGCUGGAAACACUGGGAGGCAGGAAGUUUGAAAAAAACGGCCACUCCCGCCCGCAAUGUCUCGGUCGUAGGUUCGUUAUGCCAGUUGUUCAAGCCGUUCUGUACAUUUAUACUGGAUAUUAACUGGAGUCAUUUAGCUGUGCUGAUGCUGUUUGCCGUGUGUUUUGCAUCAGUGCUUCGUGACAUCGGCUGUAUUGCGUGUUUUCGCCGACGGCUUAAUACCACAAUGGCGGGAUCUGCGUUCGCCGCCUUCGUGUCUCGGUGCGUCUUUGUACGUCGCACGUUCGGAUAACACUUUUUCCGACGGCUGGACAUCCUUCUUGUACCUUGGCGCUAGCUGGAUGAUGGGACCUCAUCAUGAUCAGUGUAUUGCUUUCCUAUGUCUACAAGAACCGUCAUGGGUGGCCUGUGACAGCAAGCUUUUGUGGGCAGCCAGUGCUCUCCUACGAAGGCUGGCCUACUCUGGCAGCGGCGGCAAUCAUCUUCAAGAUUUAUCGAUGAUCACCUUUGCUGCUAUUUGUCACUCUUCUUAAUUACACUUUCUGCAUCUUUUCUAAUCUAUUAGGUAAUAAAGUAUGAGUAUGUGA